rnacentral:rRNA from 1 species
UGAGGAAUUUUGCGCAAUGGGGGAAACCCUGACGCAGCAACGCCGCGUGAGUGAUGAAGGCCUUCGGGUCGUAAAGCUCUGUCAAGUGGGAAGAAUCUGUCCGGUGAUAAUACCGCUGGGCAAUGACGGUACCGCUGAAGGAAGCACCGGCUAACUCCGUGCCCGCAGCCGCGGUCAUACGGGGGGUGCUAGCGUUAUUCGGAAGCAUUGGGCGUAAAGGGCGCGUAGGCGGUCUUUUAAGUCAGAUGUGAAAGCCCUCGGCUUAACUGAGGAAGUGCAUGUGAUACU